GGCCAGACUCCUACGGGAGGCAGCAGUGGGGAAUAUUGGGCAAUGGAGGCAACUCUGACCCAGCAACGCCGCGUGAAUGAUGAAGGUCUUCGGAUUGUAAAGUUCUUUUCUAAGGGAAGAAGAAAGUGACGGUACCUUAGGAAUAAGCCUCGGCUAACUACGUGCCAGCAGCCGCGGUAAUACGUAGGAGGCAAGCGUUAUCCGGAUUUAUUGGGUUUAAAGGGUGCGCAGGCGGAUUUUUAAGUCAGCGGUCAAAUCGUGGGGCUCAACCCCAUCCAGCCGUUGAAACUGGGGAUCUAGAGUGUGCGAGAGGUAUGCGGGAUGCGUGGUGUAGCGGUGAAAUGCAUAGAUAUCACGCAGAACCCCGAUUGCGAAGGCAGCAUACCGGUGCACAACUGACGCUCAGGCACGAAAGCGUGGGUAUCGAACAGGAUUAGAUACCCGGGUA
rnacentral:rRNA from 1 species